rnacentral:rRNA from 1 species
UACGUAGGGUGCAAGCGUUUGUCCGGAAUUAUUGGGCGUAAAGAGCUCGUAGGCGGUCUGUCGCGUCGGCUGUGAAAUCCCGGAGCUCAACUCCGGGUCUGCAGUCGAUACGGGCAAACUGGAGUACUGCAGGGGAGACUGGAAUUCCUGGUGUAGCGGUGAAAUGCGCAGAUAUCAGGAGGAACACCAAUGGCGAAGGCAGAUCUCUGGGCCGUAACUGACGCUGAGGAGCGAAAGCAUGGGGAGCGAACAGG